GCCCUAGUGAUGCCCUGUCAGGUAUUUACUGCAGCUUUUUUUCCUGCGUUCUUCAUUUCCUGUUUUUUCUUGGAGUAUUUUGCCUUCAGCAAGUGAAAUGCACGUUCGCUUGAAAUCAGCACAUCAAGCACAAGGCUGAAUGAAGCAGAGAGAUGAGAGGAUGCAGGAUGCAUACUAACACCCAGCCUGCCACCUCCUCCUCUUCCUCCGCUCCUCACAGCUUCUGGCUGAUAUAUGAGACUGCACUCUUCAGCAUAGAAGACAUCUUGUAGACGGGGAAGACAUGUAUGGAUGAAGCCGUUUUGAGAUACUUCAUGACUUGCUGGAACAGACCCUGGACACACUGGAGGGAUUAGAGCUCAGAAUACUGAUUUGGGAAUUUCUGGGGAUCCCUGAGAAGAAGCUGGAAGAUGUAGAUGGAUGUAAUGUUUGGACUCUCCUUGUCAAGUUGUUACUGACAUGACCCUCACCAGAAGGAGUGAACAGAAAUUAAAUGAAUGAAUGCAAAUAUUUUACCCUUUUUUAAUUCUUUAUAAAGCAGAAUUAUAAUUAAAAAUACGUUAUACAUAUAAUAAUUACGAAGAUAAAGUUUAUUGACAAAAUCAAAGAUACAUAUAUACAAAAAAAUUAUCAUUUUUUGGUGUAUUUAUU